rnacentral:lncRNA from 1 species
AGACGUAACGGCAAUACCGCAGGCUGGAAUUUCAACAAUUUCAUACCAAAGCGGUUGCUCGAUUUCCCUCUCCUACAAAGGUUUGGAUAACCCAACCAUUUGGGUAUGUAAGGCAAAGAAGUAUUUUUCUCUCGACGAAUUCAUUCAAUCACACAAAGUUGCCUUAGCCUCUUUCUAUUUGGAAGGUGACGCUCAACUUUGGUUCUGAUGUGUACAAAAAUUAUAACCCGAUCCCGAACUUUCAAGUAUGACCCGAGGUCAAUACCUCGACCACACUUGUCUUCAAAUAUCCUCUAAAAAGUGGUCGAGCCUCUUAGAAGUCGGGCCUAAUAAUCUGGCCCUGCUAAGGUCAAGCCCACAUGCUAAAAUAUUGUCCUCGUCUCGAGCCUUUUUACGUGUUUUAAUCCUCUUAUAACUCAAUUACUCUAUUUGAUGAGGAUAAGGACUCUAAAUUGUUGAAUCCUUCUACAACUCAACCACCAAUGUCUAUAAAUACAAGACCUAGCCCCAUUAUUUAGGUACGUUUUUACAAUACAUACUUUUACAUAAUUUUCCCGUCUGACUUAAGCAUCGGAGGGGCGACGAGGACACACCUCGUUGCCUUUGUUUCAGGUACUGGAAGGCUCCGUUCGUGCUCGAUCCCAGUCCUCAAUCUCGAGAAAUCAACAGGUACAAUUUUUGACAUCAUCAUUGGCGCCGCCUGUAGGAAACUCGAUACAAUAACCAUGUUGUUACCACAUCAAAAAGCCACGUAAAAAAGAGGGUGAUUGUUGGCCCCUUAUGCAUCUGUCGCGCUCAUCACCUAUACCACCAUCUUGUCGCCGCUCUUGCCACAAAGAAAUUGCCCUCUACAUCGAUGGACUUUCACCAAAAACACAAUCCAACAAGUAACCGAUCCCAAAUAUCCAAUUAGAGGCAGAAAUUGCUGGGAACAACCACAAUCUACGUGCCCUAUACAAAUCGAUUCCACCACUUCUGGAAACACCCAUGGUCGGCCACCACCCUUCAUCCCUCCUCAUCUACACUACCAUCCUAAUGUAUUAACAUCACCAAAACAGACCCUAAACAUGGCUGAAUAUUUUGGGAAAACAAGCCAAGUUAGCACACACAUGAGGCAGUAGCGCUUUCUCCAAUUGAAGGGGUCGUAGGCCAUAUUUCCACCAAAUUGCUACUAUUUAAGCAUCUAGCAUCCUCAUAUGAGCUUGGGUGUGCAUUCAAUUAAUUCACUCCAGCCUCCAAUCGAUCCAAUUUUUCAAAUCAAUUAUUUCCCGGUUCAAUCACCUAACCCAACUGCCGUGUCUUCUUCAAUCAAUGGAUCUUGCACCAUUAAUCAAGCUAAUUGCCAAAAACCAAAUAUUCAACCGGCACGGACUCUCUUCCCCAACCACAGUCGAUUUCCCAACAGUUAAACGACGUCUUCUCAAUUUCACUGACCUCCCAUCCGAUGAGCUUCUAAAUAUCGAGCAGGAAUUUAAAGACCAUAUAAUCUCCGAGCAGAGUUUAAGAAAUUGAAGAGUGAUCUCCACCGCAUGAUCCAGAACCGUCGGGUAGCCUCUGCAAUCUCGAGAACGCCAGACGACAAGUGGGAGGAAUGGGGGAACAAUUUUGAACAGCCCUUAGCCUACAACCUGCAACGCCACAGUAAUUGCGUUCCAUGGUUUUACCUUGAUAUGGUUUCUGCCCAAAUUAAAUGUUAAUGGUGAAAGGCCUAUAAUGAUGGCGUGUUCUUGCAAAUUUCCAUUCAAUCUUGCUACUUUGAUUGCCGAAUGAAACAAAGGUUCAAUUGGUAAUUUCUCUGCCUUAUUUAAUCAUCCACUUCAACAUAUUGAAAUUGUGGGUUAAUCAUUGGACUUUAGUGGUUAGGCCAAAUGUUCAUUUAAGGUUGGGCCCAUAUUAUUCCUUUGAUCCAAAGUGCUCUACCCGAUUUAUCCUCUUGAAUGGACCACAUUCAAUUUUGGGCCUUCUAUGGUGAUUUUCAUGGCCUAAUUCUUUUGGUUUCUAUUUGUCUACUUAUACCGUAUCUUUAAGGCCAGAAAAUUUUGUGAAAUACUCCAAAUGGUACGACUUUGAAUUUUAUAUUACUUCAGGCAUAGUCAUUGCAAGUCUUUAAAUAUUCCAAGUUUUCAAAUACAAUAUUUCUUCCAAGUGGGUGGCAUCUAGAGAAAAAUCGGGCCUUUAUUGGUAAUAAGAAUUUCCAAUUACCAUAAUCUGUUGGCUAUGUAUGCUUUCAUUUUAAAGCCAUUAAAAUCCGAUUAUUUAUUCACCAAUGACCUGCAAGGUUAUUUUAACACCAAGUAAACAUUGGUUUCUCGGGACCUCAACAUUGAUGAUAAAUAAUGGUAAUGUUCGAGUAAGAGUGGCAAAAUUCCUCUAUUUGCUUGAAAGAUUUACAUCGAUAUACCGUCUGAUUUGUGAAAGAGUCAUGCAAUUUCCAUAGUGACAAAUUGUGGAAAUAUGUGAAAUGUGAUGCUGUAAUACUUGAUGGUCUCGUGGAUAGGCUACAAAUCUUAGUAAUGCUACAAGAAUUAUAUUUGCAAGUGUACGCAAGGUGCUUUAGCAAAUGCCUAAUAGAAGCUGAUUAUUAGCUCAUGAUUUUCUUAUUAUUGAAGGCGAGCCUUAGCUCGUGGUUUUCUUAUUACAACUGAUUAUUAGCUCGUGAUUUUCUUAUUAUUGAAGGCAAGCCUCAGCUCGUGAUUUUCUUAUUCUCGCCUUAGCUCGUGGUUUUCUUAUUACAGCUGAUUAUUAGCUCGUGAUUUUCUUAUUAUUGAAGGCGAGCCUUAGCUUGUGGUUUUCUUAUUACAGCUGAUUAUUAGCUCGUGAUUUUCUUAUUAUUGAAGGUGAGCCUUAGCUCGUGCUUUUCUUAUUAUCGAAGGCGAGCCUUAGCUCGUGGUUUUCUUAUUAUCGAAGGCGAGACUUAGCUUGUGUCUUUCUCAUUAUUGAAGACGAGCCCUGCUCCGCGCAGGCACACAAAGCCCCGUCUUGCAC